UGUUCAUUUGAUUACAAUUUAUUUAUUUGUCAAAUUCAAUUCUGCAGUGCUAUAAAUAUGCACCCCCCAUCCAAAAAAUUUAUUUCGUGCAUAUUGAUGGGGCUUUUUUAUUUAUUUACUCCUUGUCUGCAUUCCUCCCUUUUGUGUUGGUAAUGUGAACAUGAAAUGAUGAGCACUCUCAUGUUAAUGAAUAACUUUUAUUUUUUAUAGAUUUUGGCAUAUUGCAUAUUGCCAAGGGAGAUGUUUACUGAGGAUUCCAUGCCAUUAAUGUGCAGGCUGUUGCUGACGCCAGCAUGAGCAAUAUCUGAGCACCAAUGAUGAGGGUCAUCUGCUGGGAGAUAGUGGGUAUCCAUUAAGGACUAACCUGAUGACCCCUUAACCUCAUCCCUCCCAUGCUGCGGAACAGGCCUACAAUGACCAUCUAUGUAGAGGAUAUCUGCAUGCCACUGGUGGAUGUUGGCCUUUCAAGUCCAAUAAGUGCUGUGAAAUAUCAACUGUGUACAUGCCCCUGCAUAACCUGUGUCUGGAUUCAAAUGUUCCACUGAUGGAGGAAUUGGUUGGAAACGUGAUGGAACCGGAAGUUAUGAACAACACACCAGUACAUCGAGCAGCAUGUGAUAAGAGGCAGCAGCUGAUCAAACUGUUUCAUCAAAAAUGUAAAAAAAUUAUAGUUAUAAAUGUUAUAAAGUGAUAGAUGGCUCGAGUCUUCUCUGAAUAGGCAGAGCUACACUACUC